UAAUACGUAGGGGGCAAGCGUUGUCCGGAUUUAUUGGGCGUAAAGAGCGUGUAGGCGGCUUUACAGGUCCGUUGUGAAAACUCGAGGCUCAACCUCGAGACGCCGGUGGAAACCGUAAAGCUAGAGUCCGGAAGAGGAGAGUGGAAUUCCUGGUGUAGCGGUGAAAUGCGCAGAUAUCAGGAAGAACACCCGUGGCGAAGGCGGCUCUCUGGGACGGUACUGACGCUGAGACGCGAAAGCGUGGGGAGCGAACAGGAUUAGAUACCCUGGUAGUCCACGCCGUAAACGAUGGGUGCUAGGUGUGGGCGGUGUCGACUCCGUCCGUGCCGAAGCUAACGCAUUAAGCACCCCGCCUGGGGAGUACGGCCGCAAGGCUA
rnacentral:rRNA from 1 species